GGAGACUGUUGGAGGUAUGCCCUAGAGGCAAUCAAUGCGAUGAUGAUAUUCCAUUGUAUCCAUGUUUUAUACUGUGUUCCUUAAAUAAUUAUUAAAGGCUACUUGAAUUGAUUUGCAAUUAUGUGAAUUGUGUGUGAAACUCUUUACUUGUAUGGUUAUUCUAAAAGUUGUCCCUAGUCGGAGUUCAUGUGGGGACAUAAAUGAAUCUUAGACUAGCACAUGUAUUAGUUGAUGACUAUGUUUCACAAGUCAUGGACAUAGGAGAUGUCAAACUAAUAAUGUGGGCACGUGUAGAGACAUGUGCUAGGACUGACCCAACACGAGUUAUAUAGUUCUCUCUUUACACAACGUGUACGCUUUGUUCUUAGACCUGAGACUGUCGCAUGUACUCAAGAUGUGGAUCGACUUACUUAGGGGCUAUCAAAUGCUACACCGUAACUGGGUAGUUAUAAAGGUAGCUUUCGAGUUUGUCAAGAAGCGUGCUGUGAGGUAUGGUCAGUUGAGAUGGAAUUUGCCCCUCUCUAUAUGACAGAGAUAUCUCUGGGACCCUUGAGUGAUCGGAUCCGGAAAUGCAUGGCCAUGCUACGUGAGGUGAAGAGUUAACCUAGAAAGGGAUUCCGAAUCACAGCAUCGAGAAAGAGUGGUCAGCUUGGAGCUAGACCGAAUAUCAUGAGGCAAAGGGAAUAGCAUGUAUGUGAUGUUGUGAUGGUUCGUCUGAUAUGAUCUUCAUGUGCGUAUAGGAGUUAGUAUGUCUUGCUAAAGGCCGCUACUAACUAUUGGUCAAGUAGGAGUACUCAGGCCAUGCCUAUACGUAUAUGAACCUAUAGGGUCACACACUUAAAGGGCUGGAAGCCCAAUUCGGAUGUGAUCUGAAUUGGACCAAGUUUAGGAGUACUGAUGGGCCUCAGACCUAGAGGCCCGUUAUGAACCCCUAUAUAUUGAGGGGUGCGGGCGCCCUAGGGUUUAAUCCCUUUUUGCACCAGCAGUAGCCGUGCCGCCCAAGCCCUCACCUUGUUGCAAUUCGCGGAUCUAGCAGUUUAGCUUGCGACGCUUCCUCCUCGUAUGUAUGGAUACCUUGGAGCUGUUGCAUCUGCAGCACUUGGACGAGCAGCCGCACGAGAGGUCGGACGAGGAACCUGACGAACCGACGAUGAGCCUAACGAGCCACAGCACGAGGAGGGAGUCGCUGCACGUGGAUGAGCUAGUGAGCUCCUGCUCGACGUCGACGUGUUCGAGUACACUGUGUUGACGCGUGAUCGACUUCGCUGCCCCAAUGCGUUUCUACAUCUUCCGCACCUGUGCGUCGAGUGGUAAUCCUGUGAUCCACAUACGGCAGUUUUUCUGGUUUACAUGGUAGAAAAAUUUUGUUUUGCGUUAGCGUAGCCUACCUCGUAUCCCAACAAAACCUGCUCUGAAAGCUUUGCCCAUGAUCAUUCUUGAGGAUGCGUGGUUGCCGCAGAUGCCCUUGUGGAUUUCCUCCAAUAUGUCCUUGCCAUAUUGUCAUGAGACGCGCUUCAUGAGUACUCCUGAUGAUGUUCCUCGUUUGUAGAGUUUGUCCCUGAGUAGUACGUAGUUCUUGCCACGGUGCGAGACUUGCUCUACUUCUGUCUUGUCGGGAGGUAACUUAUGUUCCUUGAUGUAGUCGAUGAAGUGAGUUCUCCAAUCUACAUCGAUCAUCAUAACCUCCCAGUUUGGCAUAUUGUUGCCUCGAUCGGUGGAUUUUGAUUGUGCCCGCUCCACUAUGGAUGGCUUGUCUAGCUCAUGGAUGAAGACACCAGCUGGAACUUGAGCAUGAGUAGAUCCGAGCUUGGAUAAGACGUCUGUAGCUACGUUGUUAUCACAAGCCACGUGAUGGAACUCUAGACUAGAGAACUUGUUCUCUAGCUUGCAUACUUCCAGGCAGUACGUGUCCAUGUUAUCCUUGUGGCGAUCCCACUCGUCAUUGACUUGAUUGAUGACUACCAGUGAGUCGUCGUAGACCAACAACUACUUGAUUCCCAUCGAAACUGCCAGACGGAGCCCGUGCAAAAGCGCUUCGUAUUCGGCUUCAUUGUUGGACACCUCCUAGAAGAUUUGCAACACAUAUUUGAGUUGUCGCCUUUUGGAGAAAUUAAGAGUACUCCUGCACCAGCACCCUCAAGCUUGAGUGAUCCAUCAAAGUACAUGACCCAAUGCUCUGGGUGUUCUGCCGAUGUUGGAACUUGGUUUUCCUGCCACUUCUGCCAUGAAAUCGACUAGUGCUUGUGACUUGAUGGCAGUCCUUGACUUGAAUUUCAGGGAAAGGGCUCCAAGUUCUACCGCCCACUUGGAGAUUCUUCGUGUUGCAUCUCGAUUGUGGAGGAUUUCUCCCAAGGGAAAGUCUAUGACGAUGGAGAUGUUGUGUUCGUGGAAGUAGUGUCAUAGCUUCCGUGAGGUGAGUAGUAUUGCAUAUAGCAGCUUUUGAACUGGCUGGUACCUGGUUUUGGAAUCCAACAACACCUCACCGACAAAGUAGAUGGGCCACUAUACUUUGUAUACAUGGCCAGGUUCUAGUCUUUCGACUACGAUUGCCGUGCUGAUGACAUUAGUAGUCGCAGCGAUAUAUAGCAGCAAGUCUUCAUUAGGAAUAGGCACUGUCACGACCAGUGGAUUUGAUAAAAGUCCUUCAACUAGUGAAGGAUUGUUCCACCUCCUCGGUCCACUAGAAUUUAUCUUGCCGCUUGAGUAGUUUGAAGAAGGGUAGUCCCCAUUCUCCAAGUCUCGAGAUGAAUCUAUUGAGGGCCGCCAUGCAUCCAGUAAGCUUCUAUACGUCCUUGAUGCAUGAUGGGGUGUGCAAAUUUGUGAUGGUGGUGAUCUUCUCGAGAUUAGCCUCAAUUCCUUGAUAACUGAUGAUGAACCAGCAUAGUUUUUCGGAAGGUACACUGAACACACAUUUUGAUGGGUUCAGUUUCCAUCAGAAGCUUCGCAGGCUUGCAAAGGUUUCUUCUAGAUCGACAAUCAAGUCAUCGGGAUUUCUGGUCUUCACGACCACAUCAUCCACAUACGCCUCUACGUUGCGGUGUAGUUUUUUCUUGAAGCAUUCUUAGAUGGCUCAUUGGUAUGUGGCGCCUGAAUUCUUCAACCCAAAGGACAUUGUAGUAUAAAAGAAAGCUCCAUACAAGGUGAUGAGCGCGGUCUUAAUCUGGUCUUCCUCCUUGAGAGCUAUCUAAUAGUAUCCUGAGUAGCAAUCAAGGAAACAGACUAGAGCGCAUCCAGCCAUCGAGUUGAUGACUUGAUCAAUCCUAGGGAGCCCGAAGGGGUCUUUUGGACAAUGCUUGUUGAGGUCCGUGUAGUCGACACACAUCCUCCACUCAUUGUUGUUCUUCUUUCGCACCAAGAUGGGAUUGGCCAGCCACUCUGGAUGAUAGACUUCUUUUAUGAAGCCAGUCGCGAGUUGUUUGGCCAACUCUUUUUUUAUUGCAUCUCUUUUGUCUUGGGCAAAGUGACGUAGUCAUUGUCAUUUUGGCAUAGCUUUGGGAUCCACAUUUAUUGAGUGCUCGAUCAUCUCCCUGGGCACCCCCAGCAUAUUAGAUGGCUUCCAUGCAAAGAUGUCCCGGUUGGCCUGGAGGAAGCUGAUCAGUGCAUCUUCCUAUUUAGGGUCCAGCCUUGUGUCGAUAAGGGCGGUCUUCGAGCUAUCGCCAGUCUCAAGGUCAAUGGCUUUAAUAUCGACUUCACUUACCAGCUUGACCUUGGUUGCCCCCGACUUCUUCUCUGGAAUCUCGAGUUCUGUCGGAGAUAGUUUCUUAGAGGCGGCAAAGACUUGCAUCAUGGAAUUUGGUACUUGGGUAGUCGAUGUCAACUCCACGGCUUCUGUGUUGUAGUCAUAAGAUCUUUUCAAGUCUCUGCGCAGGGAGAGUACUCCUUUGGGUCCCGGCAUUUUGAGUACUAGGUACAUGUAAUGCGAGAUGACUAUGAAUUUGGCUAGUGGUGGUCUUCCAAGGAUAGCGUGAUACAAUGUUUCGAAAUCAGCCACCUCCAACUUGAUGUACUCAGUUCGGUAGUGAUCCUUGGUCCCGAAGGUAACUAGGCAAGACCACCUGACCAAGAGGUACAGCCGAGUUGCCUGGGACAAUCACGUAGAAUGGAGUGUUCAUCAAAGUGAGCAUAUCCAAAAUGUUUUCACCCAUUUUUCUCAAAGUCUUGGUGUAGAGUACGUUGAGACCACUGCUGCCAUCAAUGAGUACUUUUGUGAGUCGAGAGCCUGCGAAUAAUGGAUCCAGAAUGAGAGGGUAGCAUCCUGAUCUAAGAAAUUAGUCCACUGAUCCUUCCUUGAGAAGGUGAUUGGCACCUCGAACCACUUGAGGAACGUAGGUGUUGCUGGUUUGAUGGACAUUAUCACACGGAGGGCUAGUUUCUGGGACCGCUUAGUGGCAUUACCCGGAGUGCCACUGAAGAUGACAUUGAUGGUGUUGGACGGGUUCUGGAACUUGCCAUUGUCGCCAUUGUCUUUGUCUUCUUUGGCCUUGCCCUUGUCCUUUGCUCUAGAAGAUUCUGGUAGAUCUUUCAUGACUCUGCAUUGCCCCUACGAAGUUAUUUGUGAAUGCCGCCUUUAGUUGAUUCCAUGUGUCAAUGGAGUUCCCUUCUAGGGAUUCGAGCCAUGUUAGUGGCCCUGCUCCAUGUAGAUGGGAUAGUAGAUGACUUUGGUGAUUUCCUCCCGCCGCCUGGACUGACAAUGAGUAGCACUGCAGCCAUUGGACUGGGUCUUGCUUGCCAUCGUACUUGGUGAUACCCGAAGGUUUGAACUUGUCGGGUAGGACCAUCUUUCUUACUCAUUUGGAAAAGGCGAUGAAUCCGUCAGAAUCUUCUCCCGAGUACUCAACUUCGAUGACACUACGGGCAUCGUGGCUUUUGUUGAUUUUCUGAUGGAGGUCAUUAACUGGGCGUUCAGGCUUUGGAUGGGGCCCACGGUGGCCAAGACCUCCCGAGCAUUCCACCCGACUACAUUCUGCCCUGUGUUGUCUUGGUUUAGGGUUCUCGAUUCUGGGAACCUCGUUUCUGGCAACCUCAUUACAACUAGGCCUGGCGCUCUCAUUACGACUUGGAUGCCUGCCGCUACUGCCGUGAUAGGAUGUGGUGCGUCGAACUGAGUGUAUCAAGCUCUGUCGAUGGAGUUGCUCAUACACAUGCUCCAUCAAUAGAGCCAGUUGCUUGGUGUACUUGGUUUGUGGCAUUGCCCGAGUAAUCAGGUCAAUAGAAGCGAUGGUGGCAUUUCGGCACUGUCCAAAUAAACUGCCAAUGAGAGGAUGUGUCUGGUUUAGGAAACUGAUGUAUUAGGAGUUUACAAUACUUCUGGUAGGAUUAAACUGAAUUUUGUUGUACACACAUUGCAAAGUGAGUGGAUGUCAUAGAGUGCCGUAGCAUGGUUAUCAGAAGCAUAUCCCUUAUCAGUUCUAUUUUCUUGCAUUGUGAAUUUUCUAAAGGAUUGCCAUCACAAAAAUCUCUUGGAGGAGAUUUUAGUAAGAAAUGAAGUGAUCAAGAGAAGAAAGAAAAUAAUGUUUUUUAUCUAUUAUUUUCCUAUCAGCAAUGAUAAGCACUCAGAGAUGAAUCUCUCUUGAUGGUUUGUCUUGCAUAGGGGUGGAGAAAUUUAUGCUUUCUAUUUUGGUUUCCAGCAGAUAUGGAGAAAGCCAUGCUGUCUAGGAAGAAACAUGCACAAAUGCAUUAUUUAAUCUGUUCAUUCCCCUUACCCUACAAUCUUGUGAAUUAUUAUUUAGUUUCUACAGUAUGUCUAAUGAACACAAAGCAGUAAAUGGAUCAUGGUUUCAGUUCAUUAUUUAUCAUAAGGGUCAUCUGCAGGCAUUGGACCAGCAAAUCAAGCACUAAUGGAAACAUACUGGCCAAUGCCACAUGACUUGCAUAAACUUCAGGUGACCCUCUGGAACUAUGAGUUUUUUUUGCUAAACCAUUAAUAUGUAUACUGAUGCUUAAUUAGUGAUUCUAAUCAAGUCCUGAUAUCCAGUUAUCGCUACCAGCAAGGACUUUGUUGGUAAAUGCCUACGAAGAAGGAAAACGGAAAUGUCUUAAGCUUUUUUAAUGUAAAAUUUGUACUUUAACAUAAAGAAGUAGCUGCAAAGGAAUUUCUAUCCAUGUGCCUCUUUCAUCUGCAUCUUUUAGAACUUCAUUUUGUAAUUCACCAGGAAUAUAUACAUAGCGUUGCUUUUGGUUCUUUCUUAAUUUGCUUAUAUUGUGACCAUAUACUUCGGUACUUGAUGAGCACAUACUUGGUUCUUCCUUAAUCUGCAUCUUUUAAAAUUUUAUUUUGCAAUUCUUUGAUGUUUGGUUCAGCAUGAUAAUAUUGCUUUGGUACUUGAUGAGCUAUUUUGGUAUUGGUUUUGAGAUGUUAUAUACUUCAUAUACUUUUCAUGUGAAUGAACUGGGUUUAUAUUUUUACUAGCAGAAAUACCCGUACGUUGCUACGGGUCCUUACUUGCUCUCACGUUAUUAUUCGCUUGUUCCUAAUAUGUUGGCUUCGCUUCACAAUAUGUUGGUGGGUUGUCCAUAGUAGUCCUCUCUUUGCAAGUUGUUGGCGCUAGAAAUCGGUCAACCGAAUCCCCAGCGUCUGACACACGACCCGGGAGAAUCUGCUUAACUCCUGUUCGGGUGAUUGCCCUGGUGUGGUUCGCGUGGCGUGCCAGCCAAUCUGACCUGUUGAUUGGCAAGGAAGAGUACGUGUCAGGUCCAAAAAUCACGAUCGGCUAAGUUCCUGAUCUCGAGAGAGCUUAUCAGCGAAUCGGCCGACUUGCCGUAAUUAAGAAAUCGGCUAUAAGGCAGCCGAUCACUGUAGCCUUGUAGACAGAAAACUACUAGAGUAAUCGACAUAAUGCUAUGGUAACAGCACUAGGAAUAGAUCUAAUCGGCAAUAUAUAAAAUAGAUGAAUUUAAUAGCAGAAUGUAAAGAAAGCCGAAACCACCGAUUCCUAGCUGGAUAACUGGUGAUAAAACUAGAAAGACAGGUAAAACCUAUGAUUCUAGUAAAUAUCGAUAACUAGUAAAUAAAUCUAAACGAAACAACAGCGAUACGCCCGAAGUUAAAGCUUAGAAUUUACUCGGUAAACGGAACUUACAAGAUCGGCCGGAGAUCAAGUUGAUGCAGCCCUGCCAACCCGUACGAACUCGUGAAAAGAGAAAGUAUUUGGCGAAGUCGCCUGCUUGAAAGUAAGUACGAGUAAAAAGUAGUUGGUUGUAUUGAUUUGUUUAUGAUUACAGAUUUACAAAGGUAGCUAUUUAUAGCCCCGUAUAGAUGACUCCUUAACUGACUAGAAUUCUAUCCCUAAUUCAAAUAGAAAACGAAUAUUUACAAGCACGAUUCGUGCUAGGUUGGUUAUUAUACGCUUCAUGGGCUGAUCUCCCCCUUAUCCUUCUAUUCCUUUCCAAGCCCAUACAGGCCCAAUUAACCCAACCUCGUAAUCGGCCGAUUCCUUAUCGGCAAGAAGCAACCGAUUGGGAACCCGGCACGUUCGAUCCGAAGCGAGGCAGAAGUCAUCGGCCGAUCUUGUACUGUAGCACCAUUCGGCCGAUUCCCAACUGUGUUUUUCCAAUUCCCUCUCUUCUUGGCGCCGAUUUUACUAGUGAAGAAAUCCGGCGUCAACACAUGCCCCCCAGUUUCGGAGUAAAACAUAGUCUUUUACUUCGAAAUUCUUUACAACCUUUCCUCCGAAACGGCCACAAUGAAAAUAUCCUUCCGUUUCGCGGUCUUCCAGCUGAUGAUUGCAAUCUUUUCGAAACGGGCGCCCACGACAACCACUACUCCUGAAAAACUCAAAACGCCGACGCGGUAAAAAUUCCAUUUUUACCCCUCUUCAGGCGCCCUUUAAAUAGCGGUUCACCCCGCACUUCAUCUUCAAGCUCACGUCUUUCUUCCUCAGCGCGCGCGCCCUCUUCUUUCCUUAGCACCUUUCCCUUGUCGCCGAAGCUUCCUAGCACCAUCCUCCUGUUGCUUCUUCUCCUCCCCUCCAAUGGCGGCUCCUUCUGGCAGCUCUCGAGCGCGCGAUGCUCCGGAAGUAGCACCUCCGGUGGUAGUGGCGACAGCAGUUGCUCCAUCGACAGAAGAAGGAGCUUCAUCGGAGAUCCCAAUGGCGAUCCCCAUCGCGGCCUCAUCCUCCGCAGCUGCACCGGCGACCACGCCGACCACACGGAACUUCAUCCCAGAGGUUAUUACCGAAUCCUUUUUCUAUCGGCAAUGCAUUUACUUUAGAUCUGUUUCUUACUUUUUUACACCCCCCUUUCCUUUUUAAGCGGUUAGGCAUCGCAUUACUAUCCAUCUUACGGGAAAUCCCGGCCUUAUUUGCCUCGGACCCAUGGGGAAUCCAGAUCCAAUAGAAUUCAUCAAUCUAGAAACCCACAGAAUCCCCUUCAAACAUUCCACCAUGGACCUGGAUCACUGGUUGGGCACCUUUAGGUCUUGGCCGAAUGAAACCCCAGGUUGGAGGGAGUGGUACCAACGGAUAGCCGAGUCGAAGAGGGUCUCAUGGGACGAGCUUAAAAUCGGCCAGUGUAUCAACCUGUCUUUAUCCCAGAUGGAGAGAAAUGAACCGCUGGUAAUAGCAGCUUCUUACUUUUGGUCUGAUGCCCUCAACGCUUUCUUAUUUGGGCAUGGACCUAUGACCCUCACACUGGCCGAUGUGGUUCUGUUGACCGGCCUUGACAUUUCCUCCCCGGACACACCUUUCCGCCUCUUAGCCGCAACGUCACAUCGGCUGGACACAAGAGGAAUCGGCGGGUGGAAAGGAUUCAUCAGAUGCAAUAAAAGAAAUGGGUCUGUUGAGAAUAGGGAGCACACGGCUUUCUUAAUGAUGUGGUUAGAAAAACACUUCUUUUGUGGAAGAGCAGCCGGCCCAUCAACCAACACCCACGCUUUAGCCGAAGCACUAUCCAGAGGGACCCCUGUUCCCCUUGGGAAACACUUGCUAGGGGCGGCGUACCACAUGCUCCAUCAAAUCGGCAUCAAACUAUCCAAGGGAGAGCCGAUUGGAAACCCAGGUGGUCCCUGGUGGUUCAUCAACUUAUGGCUGAAUCUUUAUAUGAACCAGAUCACUAAGCAGAAUGUGGGUCACAUGAUGUUCCCUAACAUUGAAUCGGCAGAAGACCCUACUGCUCGUCGCCGAUGCAUGUCUUUUGGCGAAGCGGCGUCGGCCUUUCCAGGUUGCUCGUAUUCUGCUACAAAAGUGGCCGAGUACUUCCGAUGCUUCUACAACGGCUUCAAUGAAGACGCCACCAUCUGGUUUCCUUAUCAGCGGGAUGACCCAAUCUUCGAACUCCCAACCUGCUUUGACUCAACCACUGGCCGAUUCGACGAAGAACUCACCAAUGAGUUAAUCAAGCCAGGAAUUCUGCCAGCCAACUUCUUCUCGGGGAAAGAUGCCCCCUCGUACGAGUUCUACAACCCCUCUGUUACAGCACGUCAGUUCGGCAUGGGUCAGCUGCCGAUUCAGGUGUAUUUUGCUGGCAGAGUCAAGUUCAGAGAUGACCUCAAAACAGGCCUGGACUACAGUCGGGUACGAGACCGGAUCCCGGACUCCAACACUAUUGAUCUGAACAACUGGAUAGUAGCCCCCUUUGUUGUCCAGCCAUUCAAACUUUGGUGGGCCGAAUGGAAACAAUUCCUCUUCUGUAAUUCGGCAUUGGCAUAUUGCAACCUCCUGGAUCCAGCCAACAUCGACCCGAAUGCCGAGGUAUUUUCCUUAGCUGAUUUUUACUCCUUUUUUCGACGCGACUGAACACUAAUAUUUUACUAUUUCUUCAGGCUGAGAAUAGUACUCCUCCAACACAUAGCCGAAGUGGUCGGCUAAUAGAGGGUCAUCAUCCAUACACCUCCUACCCUCUCAUCGGCUAUGACGCUCCAUCCGUGGAUGUGAUUGCUGGCCGAUCAAAACAAACUCAGAAGAGUGUCGCCAAGAAGACCAGCCGCCGAGUCCGAGCUCGUAUAGAAUCGGCGGGUCCUCCCAUGCUCAUAUCGGCAGAGACUUCGGCUGCACUACCCCCUCAGGCCACCAGAGACAUCGACACUCAAGUCGCCGCACAAGCUGGGGCAGCCGCCGCGUCAUUGUUGUUGGAGGCCGUUCAGGUAAACUUAUAUUUUAAUCCUCCCGAUUGUUGUUUUGAUAUUAAUCCUUCUUAUCUUAGACUGCACAGAGUACUCCCGUGCACACACAACAAUCGGCAGCAACUCAAUCGGCCAUCGACGCGCCCCCGCUUCCAUCCGUUGGGGUACCACAACAUUUCGCUGAUUCCCCUCGUAUUUGCACAAUAUGCUUACUCAACCUUCUGACACAGGUCAUCGGUACGCCAAGCGCUCCUCAACCACUGGUUUUAUCUCAGGGAGCUGGUCCAAGCACCGCGCCGAUCAUCGUGGAGUCUUCCUCUUCUGAUGAACCUAUGGUACAGGUCCCUGAGCAGGGCACAAUGGCUUCCCAAGCGCAACUUGAAGAGAUUCGCUUCAAAGUGGUAAGACAUCUUUUAGCUUUAUUUGACCGAUUCGCUAUCACCAUCAGCCGAUUUAUCUUUUCUUCCUUAUUAUUUCCAGGAACAGGACACUCCUGACAACAACCUUCUCUCUUUCGCGGUUGCCCUUUCUGACGACGAGGAAGUCGCUUCCCGCCAAGUCGCCUUGAGUUCCAUCCCUGACGACGUUCGAGCCAAACUUACUAGUAUCCGAUCCCUUCUUCAAGGGGACAUCGGCCGAUUAGUAGACGAUGCCUCACCGAUUCGGCAGCUUUUCGGUGACAUCAGCGGACGAGUACCAGAAGAGGCGGAGGAAGCCUUGGCGCCGGCUGCAUUCAUCGAGUCCAUGAGGAUCCCAGUCUUCAGAGCCCUUCGUCACAUGGCCGAUCGCGCCAAGCUGGCCAAGACUCGUGAAGAGGAGGACGCGUUCAAACAUCAAGCUCAAGAGGUGCACCAGCGUAUCCAUUUUCUGGAGGACUCCCGCCCAGGGAUCGUCGGUGAGAUAGACCGCCUCAAACGCCGGAGGGCAGAGCUUGCCAAGGAAAUGGAACAAGUGACCAAGGCAAUCAGUGCCGAAGAGAAAAGGCUCCAAGAACUCCCUUCUGUCAUUGCCGAUUUGAAACAGGAGAGGCAGCACUUGGCCCAUGAGGCCCUAAAACUCCACCGCAGCGCAUCAGAAGUCCCUGGAUCGGCGAAUGAAGACCAACGGGUCCUGGACUCUGUCGAUCAGAUCCGGCGUCGGGCGAUCGCGGCUAUCGAUACCCUUCUGGGUAAUCUGUAAAGGCACUGACUAUUUGUACGAACCUUUAAUAACUGCUUUGACCGUCCUUCGCGACACCUCCUUUAUUUAUUGCCUUUCCUAUUUUCGACGGGACGCAUCCUUACCAGAUUUCCACGCCUCUUUUUCUUAUAAGUACUGGCCUAGGCACUUCCUUCCGAGAGCACCAGCUUGGCUUCGGUUUUAUUCUCUCACCCUUCUCAUCGGCGCGACCUUCUGUCAUGUCUUCGUCGGCUUCCUCCUCCUCUGUCAACCAGGUGAAACCUUGGCCUUGAUUCCCCUUUCUCUUUUUAGCUCUUGGGAAGAGGAUGCCCCUUUUUAAUCUUUCUUUGUUUCAGCCUUGGUGUCUUAGCCCCGAGCUUGAACGCGCCAUUGAGCUCAUACAUUCUGAUGACCCAUUGUCGUCAGAGGAUAAGGACCUGAUCAGGGCUCAUCGUGACAAACUUCAAGAACACGUCACUACGGAGGCCCGUCUGGUCUUGGACUUCCUGGAGAGCAACGGUCGCCGGUGACCUCCAACUGACAGGAGUCAUCCGCUUCCCCCGCGAGUUGCCCUUGAAGACAUGGCAGCAGAGACGUCACGUCCGGCGGUGGACCGGAGCCACCCUCUCCCCCGUCAAGUUGAAGCGGAGGCUUCCAUGAAGGAAAUAGAAGAAGAGUACCUCCGUCUUAUGAUAGAGUUGGGUUGGACUGAGAAGGAAUGUAAGAAAAAGGCUGGUGAGGCUUCAGAGAUGGACGAAGAGUACAUCCGCCGUAUGAUAGAAUUAGGCCGGGCUGAGAGGGAGCGCAAAAAGAAGAAUAAUUAGUUAUUGUAUAUUUUUGUUCUAAGGGCGACUUGUAUCUUGUCGGCCGUGUAAUCCAUUGUCCGUACCGAAUGAAUACAUCGGCCGAUUUGGACGAUUAUGUGUUUGAACCGUUUUGUAUCGGCUGUGUGCGAUUGUAUUACGGUCAAUCCCUUAUGCUCCGACCCAUAUACUAGGGUAGUAUCUUUUUAAGUACCUUCCAUUCAGAGCCCUAGUAAAUUCUUCUCCCUCGAUUGUUUCCAAAAUAUAAGCAUUUCCUGGAGCACAUCUGCCGAUUUUAUACGGCCCUUCCCAUGUAGGGGACCACUUUCCGAACUUAGGAUCUUUCGACCCAAUCGGUAAUACUAGCUUCCAAACCAAGUCCCCAGGGGAAAAUUGUUUAACUCUGACCUUCUUAUCAUACCACCUGGCUACUUUCUUUUUGUUUUCCUCAAUGCUUAUUAAAGCUCUCAAUCGCUGGCCAGCCAAGUCAUCGAGUUCCCUCUUCAUGAGCGAUGAGUAUUCAUCGGCCGUUAACUGGUCCUGGAGCGAAAUGCGCCUCGAUCCCGCCCUGGAUUCCCAUGGUAGUACUGCAUCGUGACCGUACACCAACUGAUAAGGAGAUAACUUGGUGGCCCCAUGACAAGCCAUCCUGUACGCCCAUAAGGCCUCAGUCAAACAUAGAUGCCACUUCUUUGGCUGCUCUUCGAUUUUCCUUUUGAUUAACUUAAUUAUCCCUUUGUUGGAUGAUUCGGCCUGACCAUUGGCUUGGGCGUAAUACGGAGAAGAAUUCAACAAUUUGAUCCCCAUAUCGGUUGUAAAUUCCUCGAAUUCCCCCGAUGUGAACAUUGUUCCUUGAUCGGUCGUUAUAGUCUGGGGGAUGCCGAAUCGGUAGACGAUAUGAUCCCUUACGAAGUCGGCCAUGAUAGCUGAUGUCACGGCUCUUAACAGAAUUGCUUCCACCCAUUUGGUAAAGUAAUCAGUAGCCACCAGAAUAAAUUUGUGCCCUUUGCUUGAUGGUGGGUAAAUUUGGCCGAUAAGGUCUAUUCCCCAUCCCCUGAACGGCCAUGGCUUGAUAAUGGGAUUCAUGGCCGAUGCGGGUGCACGUUGGACAUUCCCAAACUUCUGACAAUCCUAGCAUCCCUUAUAAUAUUUGAAACAGUCUUCGAGGAUCGUUGGCCAGUAGUACCCAUUAUUCCUGAUCAUCCACUUCAUCUUAUGGGCCGACUGGUGUGCUCCACAUACCCCUUCAUGGAUUUCUCCCAUUAGAGUCUUGGCCUCCUCUGUUCCCAGGCAUUUGAGUAGGACAUCAUCGAUCGUUCGGUAGAACAGGUCGUCUUCGAGCAGUACGUAUUUAGUAGCAUGAAAACGUACUCGUCGUUCCACCUUUUUAGACGGAUCUUUCAGGUAGUCGGCAAUUUCUUUCUGCCAGUCAUCGGCCGUGAGUUCUAGAGCCAUAGCGCCUAGAAUUGGCCGAUAUCCAGAUGCAUGCUGGGCGAGCUUGUUGGCACCCUCGUUGUGGUCCCUUGGGAUGUGCUCGAUUACUGCCGAUCUAAAUUCUUUUAAGAGCUGUAAGCAAUCUUCGUAAUAAAUUCUUAAUACGUCGUCCUUGCAUUCGGACCUUUCGGUUAAUUGAUCCACAAUAAGCAUGGAAUCCCCGAAGACUUCAACAGAAUCGGCCUUGACUCCUCUUAAUAGUUGUAGGCCCUUCAAUACAGCUCGGUACUCCGCUUGAUUGUUAGUAGCGGUGGCUUCUAUCGGCAGAGAAAAAUCAUAGCUUGCCCCCCGAGGCGAUAUGAGAACGAUGCUGAUUCCUGAUCCGACCCCACAUGACGACCCAUCAAAAUAUAAAGUCCAAGGUGCCGGCUCUACGAGGGUAAUCUCCGGUCCGCAGUGUUGGGCGACGAAAUCGGCGAUGACCUGGCCCUUGACGGCUUUUGCCGAUUCAUACCGCAGGUCAAACUCUGACAAAGCUAAGAUCCAUUUGCCGAUUCGUCCUUUCAAGAUCGGUAGUGAUAGCAUGUAUUUUACUACGUCGUCUUUGCAUACGACCACGCAUUUUGCCGACAGUAAAUAGUGCCUGAGUUUGGUGCAUGAGAACUAAAGACAUAGGCACAACCGCUCCACUGGAGGAUAUCUUGUUUCAGCGUCCAGAAGUCUUCUACUGACAUAAUAAAUUACCCGUUCCUUGCCUUCGAACACCUGGACUAGAGCCGACCCAAUAGCCUUUUCAUCGGCCGACAAGUAUAAUUUAAAUGGCUUACCAGUCUGAGGAGGAACCAAUACCGGUGGUGAAACCAAGUACUGCUUGAUAUCUUCCAAUGCUUUGCGUUGCUCCCCCCCCCCCCAUAUGAACUCCUGUUCAGGCUUCAACUUCAACAGUGGCGUGAACGCCUGAAUCCGCCCGGAUAGAUUAGAUAUGAAUCUCCUGAUGAAAUUCACCUUGCCGAUUAAAGACUGCAACUCAGUUUUAUUCUGCGGGGCCACGACUUUGUUUAUAGCCGCUAUGGUUUUCCGAUUGAUUUCUAUUCCUCGUUCAUGCACUAUGAAUCCUAAGAACUGUCCGGUGGAUACGCCGAAAGCACAUUUAUUGGGGUUCAUCUUAAGCCCAUGUUUCUUGGUGCACUCUAGCACUCUUCGCAAAUCGGCUAGAUGCUCUUCAUGUCCUUUGGACUUGACUACGACGUCGUCGAUGAAGAUUUCUAACAAAAUGCCGAUAAGUUUGUGAAAUAUGUAGUUCAUGGCUCUCUGAUACGUGGCGCCGACGUUCUUCAAGCCAAAAGUCAUCACCACCCACUCGAAUAGACCAAGGUGGCCCAGGCAUCUGAAGGCCAUUUUGGAUAUAUCCUCUUCGACCAUAAGUAUCUGAUUGUAUCCACGGCAGUGUCGAUCAGCACAUCGGCCGUUGGCAUGGGGUAACCAUCCAUCGGUGUGGCCUGAUUAAGAUUCCUGAAAUCAACUCAAACAUGUAGCUUUCCGUUCUUCUUGUACACUGGUACAAUGUUGGAGAUCCACUUGGCAUAACGGCAUUGCCAAAUAAAUUUUGCUUCGAUUAGCCGAGUUAUUUCAGCUUUUAUGUCUGGUAGAAUCUUAGGAUUGCAGCGCCGUGCAGGCUGUUGGUACGGCCGAUACCCUGGUUUUAUGGGUAGCCGAUGUUCAACAAUAGAUCGAUCUAAACCGGGCAUCUCAUGAUACUCCCAAGCAAAACAAUCCUUAAAUUCUCUUAACAAAUUUGUCAAUUUACAUUUGUAUUCUGGGUCUAAAUUUGCACUAAUAUAAGUCGGCCUUGGUUUGGUACCAUCGCCCAAGUCUAUCAUUUCUAGUGAAUCGGCCGAUGUGAACCCGUGCCCUAGCUUCCCAUCUUCUCGGGCGAACUGAUCCAUCUAUUCUGAUUCUUCGGAGCCGACUGCUCGGAUCGGCUGCAGGCCAAAAUCGGUGACCUUCAGGAAAUUGGUCUCCCAUACUCUGCCGGAUAUGCACCUGACGGUUUCGCAGCUCCACUGCUGCGUGUCGGCUGCCGCGAUGCUGUAUGCGGAAUCGGCGUUGACUACCUCGAUGUUGUCGCUGACCCAUUGUACAAGACAUUGAUGCAUUGUUGGUGGGAUGCAGCAAUUUGCGUGUAUCCAGUCCCGGCCGAGUAGCAUGUUGUAGGAUCCCUUGCCAUUAAUAAUAAAGAAGGUGGUAGGAAGGGUCUUACUGCCGAUGGUGAGGUCGACGCAGAGAGCGCCGCGAGCGUUUGACACGUCGCCUUCGAAGUCUUUGAGCAUCAUGUCUAUCUUGGUCAAGUCAUCAUCGCUCUUCGCAAGCUUCCGGAGCAUGGCAUAUGGCAUGAUAUUGACCGCAGCUCCUCCAUCUACCAUUAAUUUGGUGAGGGGGCGACCGUUGACAUGCCCUUUGAGGAACAAAGCUUUCAGGUGUUGUCGUUUGUCAUCCUCGGGCUUCUUGAACGUGGCCAUCAUUGGCUCCAAAGCCAACUGUGUCAUCUGCUCUUCUACCACCGACAUAUCCUGUCGAUCGGCCGGAGUCAUGAAUUCCAUCGGCAGUAUGAAAACCAUGCCAAUAUCGGCUACCGAUUCAUCACCUGUCGAUUCGUCGUCCCCUUUAUCGUUUCUUUUGGGGCGCCAUACCCGAGGCCUCCCUUCCUUCCUGUCCGUUGUGCUCUGUUGUUCUUUUUCCUGCUGUUCCCAUUGGCGGAGACGUUGGAUCCUUCGUUUUUGAGAUUUGGUCAAUCCGUCGGGACACCAUCUGGGGUUUAUUUGUUUGCCCCCUGACUUGGCGCGUUCCCACUCCGGUUCGCGCCCUAAAGGGUUCUCGUCUGUCACCCGAGCGUCGGCCAUCUCUUCAAGCCGACUUUGAACGUUGGCCCUAUUUUCUGACCGGUCAUAUCGAUCAGUCCUGCCCCCCUGCCUGUCAUAGCGUCUAUCUUCCAACCGAUCAUAUCGGUCACUUCUGCCUCCCAGCCGAUCACGCACGGGAGGGCGCUGGUCAUCUUGGUUGCGCCAAUUCCUGCUGAUCGGUUUUGGCCUUCCGUCUCUGGAGCGAGACCUGUUGAACGGUCGAUUGCCACGAUAUGGACCGUUGCAUUCUGGGCAAUUAACGGCCGAAGGUAGCCUGAGGUUGUUUUCCCAACAGUGGAUGAAGAACGGGCACCUCCAGUGAUCUUCGUGCCGUCGCAUCGCUUCUUCCCGGGAUCUUGAGCGUUCAUGCUGGCGCUGGUAUUUCUGGAGCAGGAACUGGGAAGUAAUGCGUGGCUCUUCCGAUUCGCCAUCGUCGUCCUCCAUCCGCCGCUUCCCCUUGACAUCUUCAGGCGUAGCUUGAUUUCUGGGGUCGAUGGCGCCACUCUUUUUAGCCGAUUCGGACGUCAGCACCUUUGUUUGGAGUGAAUUCUUCCCCGUAUCAACCAUGUUGGUGGGAAAGGGGUGCUGGUCGAUCUUCAUUGGUUUGGCCGAUUUUGUCGACACUUCAAAUUUAAGUCUGCCUUGCUCAAUGGCUGACUGUAUCUGCUGCCUGAAGAUUUUGCACUCAUUAGUAUCAUGGGAUGUGGCGUUGUGCCACUUGCAAUAUUUCAUCUUUUUUAGUUGUUCAGUAGAAGGUAUUGUAUGAUAGGCAAGAGCUUGAUCUGCCCUUCCUGGAGGAGAAGGUCAAAGAUUUUAUCGACCUUUGUCGUGUCAAAACCGAACGCCUCUGGCUCCUUUUUGCCAACCGGGCAUGAUAUUGGCUUCUUUCCCUUGACCCAUUCCGCAAGCCCGACCUCAACAUCUUCCUCGUCCUCCAUCUCUUCCAGGAAUACCACUUUCUUCUGGAAAUUCCUCCGUGGAUCGAAAGAACGUACCUCCUGUCCAGACAAUCGGUGGAUGAUUUGGCUUAAACUCUCGAACUCCUGUGAGGUGUAUUUUUCUUUGAUGUGGGGCAGGAGGCCUUGAAAAGCUAUAUCGGCCAGCUGCGCGUUGUUUAGAGCCAGGGAAUAGCACUUGUUCCUAAUUUCCCGAAACCUCUGUACAUAUGAGGAUAUCGGCUCGUCGCUUCUCUGCCUGAGGCUGGUCAAAUCGGACAGCUUCAUCUCAUGCACCCCGGCGUAGAAGUAUUUGUGGAACUGUCUUUCUAAAUCGGCCCACGUGAUAAUCGAGUUUGGCGGCAAUGUCGUGAACCACUGAAAGGCCGAACCAGACAAAGAUGACGAGAACAACCGCACCCAUAGAGCAUCCUGCGUAGCUGCCUCUCCGCAUUGGAUGAUGAAUCUAUUCACGUGCUCCACGGUUGAAGUAUCAUCCAUCCCCGAGAACUUGGUGAAGUCAGGAACUUUAUACCGAUGGGGAAACGGCAGUAGGUCAUAUGUAGACGGGUAUGGUGUCCUAUAGGUGUAAGUUUGUACCUUCGGCUUUAAACCGAAUUGUUCCUGAAUCACUUCCGCAAUACGUGCCGACCAAUCUGGCUGUUGCUGGUGAACCGUUGGCUGACGUAUUGGCACGUGCUGGUAUACCGGAGGUGGAAUAGCCUGAUGCUGAGUGAAAGCAGGUGGCAUCUGAGUGAAAGCCGGCUGUGAAUUGAAAAUCGGCUGUUUGAAUGAGCCACUUGUUUCAUCAUACAGUAUGAGCUCUGCUGUUUUAUUCAUCUCUGGUGCGACAGGCUGGUAUGGUGGCACGGUCGGCCGAGUGGCCGCCUGGAAAGAUGCCUGGAAUGGUGGGCUUCCUUGACUAGCCGAUUGAUUUUGACCGGCCGUGACUGAUGGCGCCCCCCAAGGUGAUGGGCUAACCGGAGGGAACGGCGCAGAGGACAGUUGGAUGGAGUUAUACCCCAUAGGAACUGAGCAUGAGGAAGCACCUGAACCCCUGAUAGAAAAUUGGAUCAGCUGAGAAACCGAAUUCAAAUAACUCUGGUUUGGUGGAAUCGGCUGAGUAUAUGCCGGUCCCCUGUAUCCCUGAGGUAUCCCACCAGCGAAAGAGUUGACAAUGGCGUUGUACACCGUAUUUGAAAGUACCGGGGACUGAUCAAUGAAGGCGUGAUAAACGGACUGUUGGACCAUAUUGGCCAUCUUGUCUGAGUCCUCAGAGAUUGUGAUCUGGCGAGGAGCUGGAAACGGAGUCUUCUUGAUAGUCUCCCCGCUUCUGGAGCGACUGAAAGACUGAAGGCAAGCUUUCUGGAACAGUGUCGUAUGCUUAUCUAGUUCUUCCUUCUGGUCAUCCUUUAGAUCUACUUCCGUCACCUCGAUGACGUUAUCUUCGGAGACUUCGGCAGCUUUCGACAUGGCGGCGGUUGUAUUGGUCCCACCGGGCAUGCCAAAAGUGUGUUGGCGCUAGAAAUCGGUCAACCGAAUCCCCAGCGUCUGACACACGACCCGGGAGAAUCUGCUUAACUCCUGUUCGGGUGAUUGCCCUGGUGUGGUUCACGUGGCGUGCCAGCCAAUCUGACCUGUUGAUUGGCAAGGAAGAGUACGUGUCAGGUCCAAAAAUCACGAUCGGCUAAGUUCCCAAUCUCGAGAGAGCUUAUCAGCGAAUCGGCCGAUUUGCCGUAAUAAAGAAAUCGGCUAUAAGGCAGCCGAUCACUGUAGCCUUGUAGACAGAAAACUACUAGAGUAAUCGACACAAUGCUAUGGUAACAACACUAGGAAUAGAUCUAAUCGGCAAUAUAUAAAAUAGAUGAAUUUAAUAGCAGAAUGUAAAGAAAGCCGAAACCACCGAUUCCUAGCUGGAUAACUGGUGAUAAAACUAGAAAGACAGGUAAAACCUAUGAUUCUAGUAAAUAUCGAUAACUAGUGAAUAAAUCUAAACGAAACAACAGCGAUACGCCCGAAGUUAAAGCUUAGAAUUUACUCAGUAAACGGAACUUACAAGAUCGGCCGGAGAUCAAGUUGAUGUAGCCCUGCCAACCCGUACGAACUCGUGAAAAGAGAAAGUAUUUGGCGAAGUCGCCUGCUUGAAAGUAAGUACGAGGAAAAAGUAGUUGGUUGUAUUGAUUUGUUUAUGAUUACAGAUUUACAAAGGUAGCUAUUUAUAGCCCCGUAUAGAUGACUCCUUAACUGACUAGAAUUCUAUCCCUAAUUCAAAUAGAAAACGAAUAUUUACAAGCACGAUUCGUGCUAGGUUGGUUAUUAUACGCUUCAUGGGCUGAUCUCCCCCUUAUCCUUCUAUCCCUUUCCAAGCCCAUACAGGCCCAAUUAACCCAACCUCCUAAUCGGUCGAUUCCUUAUCGGCAAGAGGCAACAGAUUGGGAACCCAGCACGUUCGAUCUGAAGCGAGGCAGAAGUCAUCGGCCGAUCUCGUACUGUAGCACCAUUCGGCCGAUUCCCAACUGUGUUUUUCCAAUUCCCUCUCUUCUUGGCGCCGAUUUUACUAGUGACGAAAUCCGGCGUCAACACAAGUAUAAUAUUAGAAGACAUUUGUGGGUGGUUUGAUGCCAUAUGAUUAUUACGUGGGACCCACAUAUGGAAAUAAUAAAAUUCACCGCUUAACUUCUGCUGUAUCCAAUCAUUCGAUUUCCCCCGUACUCAUCAUCAUCCAGCCAAUCAUUGCCUCUUCGUCCAUCGGUGCCACCCGCAUCUUGCCCCAUCUUCGCCGUCGUCCAGGCACUGCGCAUCUUGCCAUCCUCGCCGUCGCUCAGCAAGCGCUCGUCCUUCCCUUGCCUAACCUCAUUUCCGCUUUGAGGCCACAGCACCUCCGGCCGCUAUGAGUAGAAGUGUGUCCUCCUCUUCCUCUCGUUUCCAUCCACCUCCCUUCUAUAAUCCACUCCAAAUCAUUCCAAUCAAGUGCAAAAUCGAGCCCCCAAUUGCUAGAUGUGGAGGCCUUAGGGGGAUGGACGUCAUUGAGAGAGGGGUGUGAGGUCCCAACCUCUGCCCCUAUUUGCGUUGCCUACCGACUGCCUCUGUGCCCCCCUGUCGCCAUGCCCUCACUGCCACAUGGCUCUACUUGGUUGACUGCAAAGAGGCACUCGGCUCCUUGUUUCCUUUCCCCUUCCUCCUAUCUUCUUCACCCCUUAGGUCCAGGUGGCGGAUAGGGUGUGUAGUCAGAGGGAGCAGUUGCCCGCUAGGGCGAGCGGUAGUAGUGUCUGGUGAGCGUGGGGAGGGUUGGCCACGCGAGCGACGGAGCACCAACAAGUGUGUUGUGUGGGCGGGACAAAAGAACAGGAGGAAAGGUUGGACGUUGAGUCAAUUGCAGUAAAGUUUGGCCACUUUUUUGCAAAAUCAUCAAGAACUAUUCCAUUGAUUGCGGGUUGAUUACGAAAAAAGCUGAGGGAUUUUUUUGCAAAAUAACCACGAUGGUUGGAAGAAACAACCGCACUUUAAUAUUAGAUGGAGAUUGCCCGUAGCAACGCACGGGCACGAUCCUAAUUCAUUAUCAAAGUUACAAUCAGAAUACAUAACAUAUCUGAAAAGGACAGAACAUUGGAUAGCCAGAUAUUAGAACUCCUAAAUGGUUAGACCUCCUAAGCACAAACAUGAGUAUCUAGGUUUGUCGAACGCCUUAUAAAAACAAUCUUUAUCUUUACUUAUUAAUAAAGUGAGUAACGCUUCUGCCAGUUUGUUUGGUACAUCAACUUAAAUGAUUAAGAAUACUGUACAAAACCGGAGGUAAACACCCGCGUCCCUAAUACUAAACCGUUGAAACUAGAAAAAAAAAGGAAAAAAAGGCAGGUCAAACCCACAACCUUUGGCCUCCCCAUGAAAGCACGCUAGCACUUAGGCUACGGCUUGCUUGUGAUUUAGAAGCACCAUUCACAUUCUUUUAACCAAUCUAAACAGUUAUCCAACAAGUCUGUACAUAUGGCUAGUUGUUUAGCAGCAGUAAAAAUAUUCCUAGCUUGCAAAAAAAUAUAUGGGUGAAUACAUAACGUCAAUUAAUUUUAAAUUAUAGUUAUCUAUUUAGUUUUCAAACUUAUACUCCCUCCAUCCCAAAUUAUAAGUCGCUUUGACUUUUUUCAUACAUUCACUUUGCUAUGUAUAUAGAUAUAACAAUAUGUCUAGAUGCAUAGCAAAGUGGAUGUACCAAAAAAGUCAAAGGGACUUAUAAUUUGGGAUGGAGGAAGUACCAUUUAUCGGCUUGAAUAUGUAUGGGGAGCUAGUCCAACAGUACUGGAGUGGAAAAGCUACACAUGAUUAGAAAUGUUACACACUGAGCAAUGGUGGUGCGAGUGUAACAUCCGUAGAAAUCACCAACUAAAAUCACCCGUUAAAAAUUAUUUUCAAAAUCCUUUUACCGCUGAGCUCCCGAAAUUCCAAAACCUUCCCGGCGAUUUCGCCAUCCCGGCACCCAAGCCGACAGCUAUCAUUUUAUCCGUACCCGAAAAUUUCGCAACGUGCCGUCAUCAGACGCCGCGCGCGUGCUCCGACCGCGUGCCGCGAACGCCGCCGGUCUCCCUCUUUUCUUUCUCUUUUUCCCCUCCCCUUUUCUUUUUCUUGUUCCUUCUUCCCUUCUUCUUCUCCUUCUUUCUUCUUCCUCCUCCCUCCUCGCUCCUCAUCCUUUCUUCCUCCCGGUUCCUGGCGCCACUCCUCCUGGCCGGCCCCAAUGCCAUUACUCCCCAGCACCCACCUCCUCUUGGCGCCACACCGCCGGCCGCCUUGGACCCGCACCCGGGCCACGUGCCGCCGCCCCGGCGCCGACCCCUCGCCCGCCGGCCCCUCCGCCCGGCGCGCCGCCGCCGGCCCCCUACCACUCCUCCAGUGCCGCCCGCCGCACGCCACCAUUGCCGUGCCCCCCCCCCCGAGACGCCCUCCCCCGGAACCUGAGCCCCUACCGCCGGCCCAGCCUACCUGGCCCCCACCUCCAUGCCACACGCCGCCGGCCACCCGGUCCCUUACCGCCGGCCGCCCCUCGCCGGCCUAUAAAAAGGGCCGCCCGCCCAGCUUCCCUUGCCACUCCACCACCACCCCAGCUCGCCACCGCCGCCCGCCUCCCACCGCCGCCUGUGCGCCACCACCUCCCGCCGCCGCCCGUGCUACUCCACCCGAACGCUGCCGCCAACCAACCACCGCCGGCCGCCCCUUCCCCACCUUCAAAUUCGCAUGGUAAUGGGAAAAAUGGAGCCCCCUCCCUUUCUUCCGCUGCCCCGGUCCUCGGCUCGCCGCCGGCCAGGACCGGCCGGCCUGCCGCCGCCGGUCAACCCCCAUCUCCCUCUCCCUCUCCAAGUUCUUGGAGAAGGAGAUAGGAUUUCCUAUAUUCCCGAUUUGACCUCCAAGUUUUCACAAAUUACACAUAGGUCCUUCCACCACUCUCAUAACCCUUUUUGCGGAUAAGCCCCUCCACCUCCAGAAAUAUUUACAAAUAGGUCCUUAGUUUAUCGCAAAUCAGUCUUAAACUUCCUUUUUAAGCCCCUAAUCCAUGUUUAACUCGUCAUUUCAUGCGCCAAACUUCCUCCAAUUAAUCCCAGAUUUUACAUGUCAUCCUCCAGAAUACUUCCGCCGAUCCAUAUCCAAAUUUCCCAAAAAUAUUCCUUCUACCUAUUCUCCGUUCGUGUUUUCUGUUCGGAGCUCAACGGAUAAAAACCGAUUUUCUUUUAUUUAUUUGUGUGUCCGUUUGUGUGUGCCGUAGAUCGCGGAUUAAUCGAGGAGGAGCCCGAGGAGGAGUUUGACCGCGAGCCCGAGCCCAAGGACCAGCAGCACGAGCCGGAACUCCCGGAAGGCUUUGAAGACGGCAAGUCCAAUCUCACCCUUUGAUGCAUACUUAAUACCUAGUUUUUCAAACAUAACCUAUUGGCCUGUUUUAUGAAAUGCAUUUUGUUUUAUCGCAAGACAUGGUUGGAUAGCCACCCCUUGAUUGUUAUGAACUUUCCUUGUUGUCCUAUGUUUAUCUCUAAAUAUGACUCGCUCUGUUUGGAUGAUAAUUACUGCUAGAAUGCUUAGGAAACUACUACUCAACUUCAGUCAUUAUUACAAUGGUUUAUUUGGAGACUAAAUGCGUGUGUGUGUGCAAAAUGGGAAAAUGGUUCUCUUGGUCCAAAGGCAAGGGAUGUGUAGAUGAGAUGGAUGGGUGUUUCUUGUGUGAAAUGCCAGGAUGUUGUGCUCGUACCUUAGUGGUUGAGCAAUGCCGGGAGAUGUCCAUCUUAUCAUGGUUAAGGACCGAGUUGAUGUGUCAUCUUGCCUAAUUCAACCAUCGUGCAACCACUCGACUGUUGUAUGGGCAAUGGCUUAGCAUAAAUCCCACUAGCUGAACUGUUAUUCUUCAGGGGUGCUGGUGAGCAACGGGAGUUCAUGGAAAAGGAGUAAGAUCUUGGUGACUUAGGUCCCGGUUACAGUCUCGUGGAUGAGCCGUGAACCCCUUGGGUGCUUCCGUGAGGACUAGCCAGUCUUAGCUAAGGUGGGUAAUAGCUUUGUUAGGAUCCGCACUGGCACUAAGGUGAUCGUGCUGUGGUACCCUACUUGUGGGAAAAGUGUACAUCCUCUGCAGAGUUAAAACCUAUCCAGGUAGCCGUGUCCACGGCAUUGGACGAGUUACGGCUUGGUCACAUAACUAGCACUUGGGAAUGGAUGGUCACGUGUGUGUCUGUGUGUGUGUUGGAUUUUGGAAGUGUCCGGCAGUUGUGCCGUGAGCUAUGGCGGAUGGGGAGUCUGAUAGCAAUAAAACUUGGAUCCUUUGUAUAGGAUCAACCCCACUCAAUGUUUCGGUUACUAAAGAAAAGCUCUACAACAACUCAUUUGAAAACGAGCCCAUGCAUGUGUUGGAAAUUUACCUUUACCGCAAAUGAACCCUAGCCUAUCCUUGAUAUAUCACAUCCUGUGCAUAUACUUGCUUGUAUUCCCCCCCCCCCCCCCGUGGAUGGGGUUGUACUUGUUGAGUACGUUCGUAUUCACCCUUGCUUUGUUGCUACAGAGGAAGACCUGGAUUUCAUCGCCGAGGACUUUGAGUAGAGGUUGUGUCCGCACCCAACGCUGCUUGUGGUGUUGGUCUUUCCAAGAUGCUGCUGCUGCCGUGUAGUCCCGAGUAUUGUCUUUUGGCAGUCGCUUGGCUAGCCGCUUUUAUUUAUUUACUUAUUAUCGCUGCGUGACUUUCACGCCCACUCCCUCGAGAGUUGUACGGUAACUGAAUUAUCUAUUGAAUAAAUGUGUUAUCAGCCUCCUGGGAUUGAUAUUUGUAUCACAUUUAGUCUCUACUUAAGUGGGGACGCUUCAGGUGAUAUCAGAGCCGUCGUUGGCUGUAGGACGCGACCUUAGGACCGGACUAGCCCUUUUGACCAAAAUAAAAGACUUACAAAAUUUCUGUCUACCUCUGCUCUAUUACAAAACUAAUUUGUGCCCCUGUUCUUUUCCAGAUGGUCGAGGAAGGUUGGGUCAACAGCCACUGCCUGGAGGAGCCCGGUUUUUCCAGAUUGUUGUUCGCCUGCAUGGACCGCCUCGGAAUCUAUGAGCGUCCGGAGUACACCAGCAGGGAGUACAAGGAUCGCGGAACCCCUCGAUCUGAGAUGAUUAUCUACAUCGGGCGGAGUAGCCGCUACCCCGACAUCCAGCCUUGGAAUGUAACUACCACCGGCUUCCGACACAAGGAUACUUAUCAAGUGGCAGCCCGGAAGGCCCUCCGUUUCCUAUGCUAGAUCUACGAGAGGCACAUCGGCCGCACUCCGAUGAGGUUCUACUUGCCUGUCAAGAAGAACCGCCCAGUUUGGCUAGCCCGGGUGAGGACCUUGGAAAGACGUGGACAGCGCAAGGAUGACUCCACCGUACUCCACAUGGCUGCCUAUCUUCUCACCUUGGAUGAACUCUACGACGAGCAGGCUGCUAAGUUGAAGCAGCAGACUCAUAGGGCCGAGGACGCAGUGGUUAUGGUGAGGAGGCUUCAAGUAAAGUUAGCCGCCGCUGCGCAGCCGCCUAAAGCAAUGAGGCCGUUGCCGUUGAGGCCCUCAAGGAGGCUGAGGACCGGCACUCCAAGGAACUGAAGGAUGCCCACCUCACCAUUCGUGCUAGAAGGAGGAUGGUGGCCAUCGAGGACGAAGAGGCCCCGAUCCUUGAAGGAAUUCCCAUCGCCCUAGGAUCCGGCAAGCGGAAGAGCCUGGAUGCCACCCCAGCACCACCGCCUUCGGAAAGGAACUCCGAGGUGUCUGAUGGAGAGGCGCCAGAACCCUGUCCAGCGGGCGGGACUCUAAAGGAUGAAGUGCUAGCCCUCCUCAUCCCGUUAGAAGACCACUCAGUCCAGGGAGAAGACUCGCCCCGCGAGUAGUAUGCCCAGCUCAGAGUUGCCCAAGGGAAUGAAGCCGUCAUGGUUCGCAGUUUAGAGUUGUACCUCCUGCAGUUGUGUUGUUGUAACCGGUCGUGUAGUACAUGUUUUGGCCUUACCCCAGCAGUGUUGUACCCCCCCCCCCCCCGUGGCAAAAUAAAUAAAAUCGCGUGUGUUUGUUGUUUGUUAGUCUAUGUGCUUGUCGACAGGAGGUGGAUUCUGUCUCUUCGAAAAUACGAAAUAAAAACCUUAAAGAUCACUAAAACCUAAAUCCUACUCUCAUAAAGUCUCACCCAAUCUGCAGAUGCCGCCCAAGCGUGCUACCAGGACCUCCCCAAGUCAGGACCAUGCCACCCCUAGUACCGAGAGGCAGCCAGAAAGGCAAGAACUGCCUCCGGCAGUGCUUCCUGAGGAGCAGAAAGUGAGUCAGCCAGAAGAAAGGGGAGAAAGCCAAGUGGGAGCACAGCAGCCCUCGCCCCCACCAGUCAUUGAUCUAUUUCAAGUGAUGAACAACCAGACCCUUCUGCUGGAAGCUCUGGCCAACGCCGUCACCCGCCAGAGGCCCCGCGGGCAGAACAUGAAUGAGAAGUUGACAGACUUCCUCCGGACCAAGCCACCCACUUUUGGCGGGUCCAUCAACCCUCUAGACACAGAUGACUGGCUGCACGUCAUCCAGAGGAAGCUGGAACCAUUUGGUUGCGAGGGCAGGGACAAAGUCCUCUUGGCUGCCCACCAGCUCACUGGAACUGCCCUAGCUUGGUGGGAGAACUACUGCUCUGCCGCCCAAGAUGCCUCCACUAUCACCUGGGAUGAGUUCAUGACAGAAUUCCGUCGCUACCAUAUUCCCGUAGCCACCAUGAAGCGUAAGGUGGAUGAGUUCCGUGAACUCCGCCAAGGCAACAGAUCUGUGGAAGAGUACACCUUCCAGUUCAUGGAGCUGGCCCGUUAUGCUCCAGAGGAGGUGGACAAGGAUGAGAAGAAGCAGGACAUCUUCAAGAAAGGCUUGAACGCGGAACUGAGGACCCUGCUCACUCCCCAGAUCUACCCCGACUUCAACACCUUGAUGAACAUGGCCAUCUUGACUGAGAGGGCUAAGGCAAAAGAACGGAGGGACAACAAGCGUCGGUUCCUGGAGAGCAAGACGCACCAGCAGGACCGAUUCUAGAAGCCAAGGAGCUUCGGUCACCCCCUGCCCAGAUCUCAAACUCCCAUGCAUUACCGGACCCAGUCCCAAGCACCCGGUUCACACCAGACUGCUGCCCCAUUCAAGAGCCAGAACCCGACCAAGGCCCCACAGAGCAGUGCCAGCCAAGUCACUGGCAACAGUAGGGCAUGCUUCAAUUGCCGAGAAUCCGGGCAUUUCAUCACCAAUUGCCCCUAUGCUAACAAGCCAGCAGCAUCAGCCUUCUCCAACUCGGUAGCUGGGCCCAGGGCAGCAUUGUCAGGAGCCAACCGUGUGCCAGUCCGCAGCAACAACAACCCUAACAACAACAACAGCCAGCAGAUGAGGCCACCCCAGCAAUCAUUUGGACGAGCCCGCGUAAACCACAUCAGCGCGCAAGAGGCUCGCAAAGCUCAGGGCGUGGUACUUGGUGAGUUUUUAGUCAGCUCAGUCUUGGCAACAAUACUUUUUGACUCUGGAGCAUCACAUUCCUUCAUAUCCUCAAGUUUUGUGGAAGAACAUAAUAUACCCACAGUACUACUAAAGUUACCCCUACUAACCCGGACUCCUAGAGCUGACAUUCGGUGUCAACUAGGUUGUUCCCGGGUAAGGAUUAAUUUAAGUGGGGUAGAAUUUCUAGCGGAUCUAGUAGUACUUAAGUCUAAGGGGAUAGAUGUGAUUCUUGGAAUGGACUGGUUGAGUCUGCAUGACGGUCAUAUAGGGUGUGCUGAUAAGGUAGUGCACCUGACCAAUCGGGAUGGUGUACAAGUGACCUGUCACACUCGAGGGAGUGGCCCAGACCCCAUGGUGUUUAGCAUGGAGACCAAGACCAUAGAGGAAGUCCCGGUAGUAAGUGAAUACCCAGAUGUCUUUCCUGAGGAACUACCUGGUGUUGGAGGUAUGCUCUAGAGGCAAUCAUAGAGAUGAUGAUAUUCCAUUUGUAUCCAUGAUUUGUAUAUUGUGUUCACUGAAUAUCCAUUAAAGGCUACUUGAAUUGAUUUGCAAUUAUGUGAAUUGUAUGUGAAACUCUUUACUUGUAUGGUUAUUCUAAAGUUGUCCCUAGUCGGAGUUCAUGUGAGGACACACAUGAAUAUUAGACUAGCACAUGUAUUAGUUGAUGACUAUGUUUCAC
rnacentral:lncRNA from 1 species